AAAGGCAGGAAAUAGCACAUGCAGCAUCAACCUCAGCCCUAGCUCACGAGCAAGAUUCGACGUGCAUUAAAUUAUGCGGGAAGAGUUUGCUGAAGGCCCCACCUAGCCAAAGUCGAGGAGAGAAAUUUUUGUGUCUCUUGGGAAGUUCUACAAGCGAACUCCACAAGACACUAUGGCGAAAAUAUGGAUCAUAGUGGCCUCUCUUUUUGUUGCCAUCUACGGCGCAAAUAUCUUUACAUACAAUCCAAGGUGUCCCUCCAAAUAUACAAAAAAGUGCAUGAGUGAAGGUUUGAAAUUCAGCUGCUUCAUCCUAAAUGACUACAUAACUUACAGGAGAUGUGUUGACGUGCAAAAGGACUGUGUUUCGUUGUGGCAAUAUUAUUGUGGAGGUCAAGGUUAUUUUGUGAAAUGCAAAUCAAAAGGGACGUGGUUAUGUGGAUGCGAGUGCUGCCACCGACCAACAAUGACUGGCUUUUGCAAGUACAGUUAAGAUGCCGUUCGCACAUUUCGUCCAAACAAGACAGCCAGACUUCAGUACAGUUCGCAACAAUAUAUGUGAUCAUCACGCGAAAAAAAAAAAAAAAACAUUGAUUCCAGCACAUAACCACCACAGCAAGUUAUGCCAGCGUGGCGCAUCGUUAAUUUAGGCUUCAACUGAGCCGUACAAAAUUUCCUUGUACUGUCUGAGAGAGUUUGUUGGCACGUCACAAGCAUUUGCUCCGCACAACAAGCAAGCAGACGACGCAAGACGUUGGCGUUGCAAAAAACUCCGUAAUUGUCUGACUACAAAAAGAAAAUAUCGAAGGUAUUGGACGCAGAGAGCUCUGGAGAUAAGUAGAAUCUGUCUAGCAAACAUAAGGAGUAUUAUGCGCGGUGCUGGUGUCAAGAUAUCUGCUCAACAUAGAAAUAUAAACUGUAGACAUUCCUCACUUGAUAUGCACCCAAGUCUACCUGCAUAUAUGGUGCCCGCAGUAUCUUUUGUUACAUAUAUAUUUAUAAAUAAACAUGCGCUACACAAGCGAUGUUCCCUUAUUCGAAGGCAUGUUAUAUGCAGAACGACAUCCAUACAUGCGCUGCAUAUUCGUACAUAAAAUUUCACGUUGAAAUUGCAUCUCUAAAUCAUUUAGAACGACACGUCGCUAUCAUUAGAUGAAUAGUAGUAGGCCUGGAGGAGAACCAAAAAAGAACUUGUAGGGCACUUAAGCUUCGCCUUUCAAGGUGGAACGCGGUAGCGUUAUCGGGCCGCGUUGGCGCCACCACUGAAUCCGGGCAUUCAGCGACAUGGGGCCUUACGGAAGAUAAUGGUGGACAAAUCCCAGCGGCAGUACAGAGAGCAGCAAUGGCUCAUACUUCCGUAGGGCAGAGGCAACAAGCUGCGGCUCCCCAAUGGAGCAUACCCCCGUAAACGAGGAAAAUGGGCUUUGUGUAGGAGUGGCCGCGUAACAAAAUUUUUUUCCCCGUAUAAUGAAAUUGUUUUCUCGUAUAUUCAAAUUACAAUCGGAUGCUGUCAUAUCUGUAGGUUGCGUGCAAGCCGGACUUAACACAUUUUCUUAGGCAUUUUAGCCUGAGAAAUUUGUUUAGUUCAAUAACGCCUCUGCGCCCCGCGGACGGCCUACCUAGUUGUGGUACGGGAUGACUUUUCCUGACAACAACGCCACCGACGACGGACGCCCACUCAGGAUUGUCUGCGACCACGGGUUGU